rnacentral:rRNA from 1 species
GAGUUUGAUCUUGGCUCAGGACGAACGCUGGCGGCGUGCCUAAUACAUGCAAGUCGAGCGGACUUGACAGAGCUUGCUCUGUUCAAGUUAGCGGCGGACGGGUGAGUAACACGUGGGCAACCUGCCCUGCAGAUUGGGAUAACUCCGGGAAACCGGGGCUAAUACCGAAUAAUAUUGAAAACCUCAUGGUUUUCUUUUAAAAGGCGGCUUCGGCUGUCACUGCAGGAUGGGCCCGCGGCGCAUUAGCUAGUUGGUGAGGUAACGGCUCACCAAGGCGACGAUGCGUAGCCGACCUGAGAGGGUGAUCGGCCACACUGGGACUGAGACACGGCCCAGACUCCUACGGGAGGCAGCAGUAGGGAAUCUUCCGCAAUGGACGAAAGUCUGACGGAGCAACGCCGCGUGAGUGAAGAAGGUUUUCGGAUCGUAAAACUCUGUUGUUAGGGAAGAACAAGUAUCGGAGUAACUGCCGGUACCUUGACGGUACCUGACCAGAAAGCCACGGCUAACUACGUGCCAGCCGCCGCAGUAAC